UUAUUGACUCGCUUGGGAAAGAAAGAUGCAUUUGUUUCUCAAGUUGACACGACUCAUGUUCUAAGGAAGAUAAUGUAGAACGACUAGGAACUAAUUUCUAAGGCUUGGUGAGACUUGGAUGACCCACACGGCUAUGAAGAUCAACAAAAGAGAAGGCAACUGGUUAAUGUAAAUGGCAGAGAUGGUACAAUCCUUGUAACUCAUGUGCUACUCCAAUCAGCUUCCUUGUACCCUAGUCCUUCAAAUGAACAAAGUCAGUGGUAAAGGUUAUUGAGCAAUUAAGGUGUUUAGUCAAUUUGCUAAAAAAAAUCAAAUGAUCUGGACAUUCAAGGGCAAACAAAAUUAAGGUUAAAGGAAUAGAAGGAAGAAGAUUUACUUCUCCAUCCUUUUAUCCAUUGUUCGUGAACCAUUAGCUAAUGUAACCUUAAAUGGUAUGGAAGGAGAUGUAAGAGUGGAGAAAGGUUAUGAUUACCAGAUAUAUGGUCAAAGGCACCAAAAUCUAAAAUCCAUUGACUGGUGGGUGAGGACUUGGCUAGAUAAGCAAAGGAAUUACAAGGAGGGAAAUGCUAAAUGAGGAUGAUUGCUUUUGCUUUGCUGCUUAAUACUGCAUAUAUUCAUUGUAAUUUGCUCUUGUUAAGGUAAUUGAGUUUGGCAUCCGAUUUGGGCUAUGUUAGUGGUUGGUCUGCUAGUAUUGUUGCAUUGAUUGGUUCAUGGUGGUUGGCCAUGAAGUACCUAGCAAGUAUCCCAUGUGUGGCACCUUUAUUACAGUAGGUAUAAUGAGAUUUCUUCUCUUUGCCUUUUUGAUAACCACCUUGUCCCUGUUGAUUUUUGUUUUUCACACCAAGACUGAGGAUUCAAAUUCUAGUGGAUCACUCAUACUUGGAGAAAUGUGUAAGAGUCAGGCAGAUACAUCCUUUAAAAUAGGAAUAAUGGACUUAUUAGAAUCUUGUGAUUCUUAACUUCACUAUGUUGUAUUGAGUUACACCUUAUAGAAUCUUGUGAAAUUAAGCUCAUGUUAAUUUUCUAGAACCUUGAAUGCAGAGAAAUUGUUAAUUGCAUCUUGGAAAACUUGUACUGCACCAUGGAUUUUUGUGACUUAUGAGCUUGAUUAUGCCUUUAGUGAUGUUAAAAAAGUUUUGGCAGAGCUAUUUCCAUGGGAAAUGUUUUUAAAAUUUCUGUAAAAAUAAUUGCACCUUAUUGCACCCUCUUUCCUAACACUGCACCAAGCUAAAACUCACUGCAUAUUGAGAAAACCAAGCAGAACUAUUGCCCUCUUAACUUAUGCUGCUAAGAUGACUUAUUAGUGCUUGCUCAGUAGAGGCAAUAUGUAAAAAAUUACAUUUUGGCCCUUGUGCAUCCAACUAAAUCAAUAAAUUCACCAUUGCAACACCCAGUUUCUUACUAUAUCGUACUAGUUCUUAGUUACACCCUAUUGCAUCUUAUAUCAAUCCAUCAUACUCACACAACAACCUCCAAAAUUAAUAAUUGACCUCAUGGUAGUAAGAUUCAGUACAUUGCACUAGCUUUAUCAUAGAAGACUGUCACUGCAACUUAAGAAAUCUUGUUGCAUCACUAGAAAAACCACCGCACUCUAGACUUUUUCACUUCUUGAUCCUGCUAGUAAUUAAAACAUAUCUCCAGUUGUUCUAGCAAAGCAACUUUCAUAUAAAAAUGUACCAGAAACCAGCCCGGCCUCCAAUGCAAAAACUUGUUUCUUGAGUUAGAUCACCGCAUCUAGCUACAACCCUCUGUACUUCAUGAAUUCUUUACUGCACAUUGUUCUCAUAGCACACUUCCGAAUUUCUAGAGACCCAAGAAUAACUUCCAAGGUUCUAGCACGCCAAUUUUCAUAGAAGAACAUACCAAACACUAGAACAACCACCACCAUGCUACAUUGCACCUCAGACUUAGCCAGCUUAACCAUUUUCAACCAUUCGAACUUCAUACCUAGGACUAGAUGAACUUCACCAGGAUCUCUUUUGUAGCUAUUAAUUACUCCAACCUAACUAAUCUCUUCAAUAAUGAAACUUUAAGGCAAAGAUGGUAUCUUUCAAGUCUCACAAUCCCUUGAACUUGUUGUGAAAUAGCUAGAGUUGAGUUAGCACCUCAACAGGUCUCCCACGAGACUUCUUGUUGCCCAAUGCUACUAUCAUGGAUAUGCUACCUUCAUCCACCAAUUCCAGUAAGUAUC
rnacentral:misc_RNA from 1 species